rnacentral:piRNA from 1 species
ACAUAGUAAGUGCUCAAUAAAAAGUGA